AUUAUCUUGAAUAUUAUUAUAGAUAGAGAUAAACUGUAAACAGCAAUAAUGUUCAGCAAAGUAAGAUUUACAAAUAAGUCAGCAUGACCAAAAUGGUCAGUUGACCCCUGAAGGAGUUAUUGCCCUUUAUAGUCAAUUUUUAACCAUUUUUUCGUAAAUCUUAGUAAUCUUUUACAAAAAUCUUCUUCUCUGAAACUACUGGGCCAAAUUAAACUAAACUUGGCCACAAUCAUCAUUGGGGUAACUUGUUUAAAAAAUGUGUGGCGUGACCUGGCCAAUCAACCAAAAUGGCUGCCACGGCUAAUAAUAGAACAUAGGGGUAAAAUAAAGUUUUUGGCUUAUAACUCAAAAACCGAAGC
rnacentral:lncRNA from 1 species